rnacentral:rRNA from 1 species
AUGAAAGAACGACGAGGUGGGAAACAAAUUGCCCAGCUCGGCGAACAAGCGAAGCAAUCGUGCCCCCCGCUCAAGGUGCCUAGCGACAUCGUCGCUAAUGAUCCGAGGAUGGUGCCCGGUUAUAGCAAUCUUGGAGAUUACCUGCCCGAAGAUGUACAUUAUGAUUUCUUGGAGGUGCAGAUACAAAGAUACGAGUACGGGAAGCCUCUCGUCAAAGAUGAAAGAUCUCUAGCAACGAUGAUGGGAAGAUUGCAUGAUUGGUACUUGAAAAUCUGCAGAGAGUCUGGGGGGAGGAAUACUUUGUAUGUGAGAGUUAAAAAGGAGCAUGACCUCGUUGGAAUUGAACUAUUGCCUAUUCCAUUUGAGGAGUUCUUUCAGUUUUUCAAUCAAUUGGCCCUCGAUAAAGCAACAGUCACCUGCUACUGUCUGUAA